rnacentral:rRNA from 1 species
UACGUAGGGGGGCAAGCGUUGUCCGGAUUUUAUUGGGCGUAAAGAGCGUGUAGGCGGCUUUACGGGUCCGUUGUGAAAACUCGAGGCUCAACCUCGAGACGCCGGUGGAAACCGUAAAGCUAGAGUCCGGAAGAGGAGAGUGGAAUUCCGUGGUGUAGCGGUGGAAUGCGCAGAGUAUCAGGAAGAACACCAACGGCGAAGGCAGCUCGCUGGGACGGAACUGACGCUAAGGCGCGAAAGCGUGGGGAGCGAACGAGGA